rnacentral:sRNA from 1 species
GCUGGGCGUGGUGGCGCUUGCCUGUAAUCCCAGCUACUGAGGAGGCUGAGGUAGGAGAAUCGCUUGAACCUGGGAGACCGAGGUUGCAGUGAGCGAAGAUCACACCACUGCACUCCAGCCUGGUGACAGACUGAGUCUCUGUCUCAAAAAAAAAAAAAAAAAAAAAAAAGACAGGAUAUCACUCUGUCACCCAGGCUGGAGUGCAGUGGUAUAAGCAUAGCUCAUUGCAGCCUCCAACUCCUAGGCUCAAGCGAUCCUACUGCCU